rnacentral:tRNA from 1 species
GGAGAGGUGCCGGAGUGGUCGAACGGGGCGGUCUCGAAAACCGUUGUGGGUGUAAGCCUACCCAGGGUUCGAAUCCCUGUCUCUCCG